GACGAACGCUGGCGGCGUGCUUAACACAUGCAAGUCGAACGGAAAGGCCCUGCUUUUGUGGGGUGCUCGAGUGGCGAACGGGUGAGUAACACGUGAGUAACCUGCCCUUGACUUUGGGAUAACUUCAGGAAACUGGGGCUAAUACCGGAUAGGAGCUCCUGCUGCAUGGUGGGGGUUGGAAAGUUUCGGCGGUUGGGGAUGGACUCGCGGCUUAUCAGCUUGUUGGUGGGGUAGUGGCUUACCAAGGCUUUGACCGGUAGCCGGCCUGAGAGGGUGACCGGCCACAUUGGGACUGAGAUACGGCCCAGACUCCUACGGGAGGCAGCAGUGGGGAAUAUUGCACAAUGGCCGGAAGCCUGUUGCAGCAACGCCGCGUGCGGGAUGACGGCCUUCGGGUUGUAAACCGCUUUCGCCUGUGACGAAGCGUGAGUGACGGUAAUGGGUAAAGAAGCACCGGCUAACUACGUG
rnacentral:rRNA from 1 species